UUACGGCCAUAUCACGUUGAAGCACCGGUUUCCCGUACGAUCGCCAAAGUUAAGCAAAGUCGAGCCUGAUCAGUACCUAGGUGGGUGACAUUUUGGAAAUAAUUGUUGCUGUAAG